GAAAGGAGUUUCAACCAAAACGAAAAACUGCGCCCGAGAUUUAAAAAUCCUUCUAUGCGACCGCAUAGAAGGAAUCUAUGCGGUCGCAUAGUUCAAAUUGUUUGGGUUCAUUGAGUCCCUGAAGCCUUCUAUGCGACCGCAUAGAAGGUUACACUAUGCGGUCGCAUAGAAGUAGCCAUCUAUGUGGUUUGUGCAAUUUGGUCCCUGAACUUCUUUGUUGCUUCUCUUGACUUCUUUCUUCGAUUUCUUCAUCUUUUCAACAAAUUUUAUCUUCCAAUUGAUGAUUGAUACCAUCAAUUCUCAUGCCCCUCAUUCGGCAUAUCUUUUGAGUAUUUGCGCUUUAGUCCUCCAACUUUCAAUUGUCUUCAUUUCAGUCCCUCUUCAAUAUUUUCUUCUUCCAUUUGUUUUGCUUUGUCAUUAAGCUCAUACUUGGCAUGUCUUUCCUCUCG
rnacentral:lncRNA from 1 species